rnacentral:rRNA from 1 species
GGAAAACUCACCAGGUCAGGACACGGUAAGGAUUGACGGACUGAAGGCUCUUUCUCGAUUCCGUGGAAAGUGGUGCAUGGCCGUUUUUGGUUGGUGGAUCGAUCCGUCUGGUUAAUUCCGUUAACGAACGAGACCUCGGCACUCCGAAUAGCGCGGCGGACGUCGCGGCCUCCGGGCCGUCUUCCGCACGAGCUUCUUAGAGGGACCGUCCCCCGCCGGGGAAGGAGGUGCGAGGCAACGACAGGUCUGUGAUGCCCUUAGAUGUUCUGGGCCGCACGCGCAUUACACUGACGCGUCCAACGGGUGACUCCCGACCCGAAGGGGCCGGGGAAUCCGCAAGGCGCGUCGUGAUGGGGAUUGAACGUUGCAAUUGUUGUUCACGAACGAGGAAUUCCUAGUAGGCGCGGGUCAUCAACCCGCGCCGAUUACGUCCCUG